rnacentral:rRNA from 1 species
UCUUAUCGAUAAGCCAUUGGAGGGCAAGUCUGGUGCCAGCAGCCGCGGUAAUUCCAGCUCCAAUAGCGUAUAUUAACGUUGUUGCAGUUAAAAAGCUCGUAGUUGAAGUGAGGGAGUGUGUGUUCAUGAGAGCUAGUCUCGAGUGUUCACAACCUCCCCCCUCCAAUCGGUGUAGUGGGGUAUUCAGUUAUUCCACUACUCCUUUGGUCGUUUACUGUGAGAAAAUUAGAGUGUUCAAAGCGGGCGUUUGUUUGAAUAGAUUAGCAUGGAAUAAUGAUUGAAGGCUUUCGUGUUCGAUUUGAUUGGUUUGUUCAUGGAAGCAAGGUUAAAAGGAACAGUUGGGGGUAUUCAUAUUCACUAGUUAGAGGUGAAAUUCUCGGAUUUAUGGAAGAUGAACAAGU